rnacentral:lncRNA from 1 species
GGACAACAACACAAAAACAUAUCAAAAGAAAACUGGAAUGAUUCAAGAAAAAAACGUGAGACUGUUCUGGAGUGAUCAGCAAAGAGCCCAGAUCUGAAUCACAUCCAUAACCUACGGUCGGAUCUGAUAACAGCAGUUGGCGGAGGGAACCCCUCAAACAAGAAUUAGAGGCAAUUUGCUGCUCAAGAGUGGGCCAAAUUGCUACUAGAAGGUGCAGCAAGCUCAUUGAUGGCUACAAGAAGCAUUUGUUGGCAGGCUAUGCAACCGGGGUGCCAAUAAUUUUGUAAUGCCAUAAAUUGUGGUCAACAGAUUAAUUCCAUCCCUUCCCCUGCUUUGAUACUCACGUUUGUAGCCAAAACAUGACAGUUAGGAGUUAAAUCAGGAUAUUCUCUCAUAAAAUUCCUUGGCCAGUCGGGCGGGUUACAGUGCCGAGAGAAAUUACGAUUUAAUGAAGCGUCCCUUGGCAGCCGUUUGGGCAGAAAAACGAUCAAUCCGCCCAAGCGUUGAAGGAAGAUACUGUGCAUGUCAGAGGUCUUUUCCUUCUUCAACUUAGUGGCCUUCCUCUGUCUUCCUUGGGCUGACAGUCUUCAAGGAUGUUUGUCUUGGUUCGAUGGGCUUGUUACUGCUUAGACUUGUGCUACUUCCGGAAAGCUCCUACCCUAUGUCUGCUUAAAUUUCUUCUCUUUUUUAUUACAGACAUCGGAAUCUUGAAAUAAGUGACCUGUGUAUUCCACUGGGGAUUUUUAAAUACUCUUUAGUCACACUCUAUGGACAUCUACUAUCAGAGGCCCUGCCAGGUUCCUAGAGGAAGAAGAGCUACGAUUAACUCUCACACACGUUCAUUGCCAGAAGUCACAAGUGCUGACAGGGGAAAUAUUACAACCAAUUCACUGACAGAAAUUGGCAACGCAGGUGAUUAGGCUGGCAGGUUAGGAUGGUGUCAGUCUCAGUUGAGCUGAUGCAAAAGUUGGGGUUUGAACAAAUGCAUUUUGGCCACAAUGUUCUCAGCACCCAGACGCUCUUGACAAUUAACAUGCAGGAUGGUCUUUUAAAUAAGAAGGGUUAGUGGUGACUUCCAGGUUAUUCAUCUUCAUUCCAGGUAGCAAAUGCUGCAGCAGUGCCUUUACCACAAGGCAUGGAACCUUAUAUUCUGCAUUAAGUAUUUAGUUUUGGAACUGCAUAAUGUUAAUAUACGGUGGCCCCGAAAGGAAAGGUAUUAAUUUAUAAUA